GGGUAUAGAUCUCUGUAAAAUUUAAUUGAAAAUUUACUAUGUCAGGAUUGUAAAAUAGCAGCAUAAACUUUAGAGAUUUUAUUUGUAUAAAGACUAUACCUUAAAUAUUU
rnacentral:SRP_RNA from 1 species